rnacentral:rRNA from 1 species
GACGAACGCUGGCGGCGUGCUUAACACAUGCAAGUCGAACGGAAAGGCCCUGCUUUUGUGGGGUGCUCGAGUGGCGAACGGGUGAGUAACACGUGAGUAACCUGCCCUUGACUUUGGGAUAACUUCAGGAAACUGGGGCUAAUACCGGAUAGGAGCUCCUGCUGCAUGGUGGGGGUUGGAAAGUUUCGGCGGUUGGGGAUGGACUCGCGGCUUAUCAGCUUGUUGGUGGGGUAGUGGCUUACCAAGGCUUUGACGGGUAGCCGGCCUGAGAGGGUGACCGGCCACAUUGGGACUGAGAUACGGCCCAGACUACUACGGGAGGCAGCAGUGGGGAAUAUUGCAAAAUGGGCGGAAGCCUGAUGCAGCAACGCCGAGUGCGGGAUGACGGCCUUCGGGUUGUAAACCGCUUUCGCCUGUGACGAAGCGUGAGUGACGGUAAUGGGUAAAGAAGCACCGGCUAACUACGUG